GAUCCACUCCACUAGAGUUUACUGAGUGAGCCCACAAUAUGGUUUCCUUACUAUAGAUGAAGCCCAGUGGGAGGAUAGCAAACUCCAGGACUCUAGACUCUAAAAACUCAGCAAAGAUGAUAGCUGACUGACUAUUCUUUGAUGACAACUGCCUCUGUAGACUCCUUGGCAAGUUCCUCCCUGGAAGCCUUCCACAGAGACUGUGAGUGCUCUCCAUUGAACGGCCAGAUAGCUCUCAUGCUUUGUGAACUGUGAAAGCUGAACUUUAUUCAGAGUACCUAAGAAUGGAGUUUGUGUCUUGGGAAACUAUUUCAAAAGCUUUGUCUCUUUUAACCAUUAGAUACAUUUUGAUUAAAUCAAGCCAACUUUAUUUGCCUGAUGAAAUAACUUGGUCUCUGACAUAUAAGAUAAUGUUAAUGAAUAUUGAACUGCUAUUAAAAUAAUAUCCAGGAAGAGAAUACUCUGUAUGAUCUAGUUAAACUUAAUAUUGUUUGACAUUAGAGAAGAAUGUGUUACAGAUAAAGGAUGUCACCUGAGGUUCAUAUAAAAGGGAAGGAAAUGGGAAACUUUCAAGAAAAGAAGUCACUGACAGAACAGACUCCCUGAAAGUUUGUUGCAAUGCAGUGUGCUGAGAGCACUGAGAAGGAGUUGAGUUUGUCAUAUUAUCCAAGUGGAGUAUGUGCUUUCUACUGUCAGAAACUCUCUCCUGCAGAGCCUUAUUAUUUCCUCAAGUAUGGAUACAUAUUCUUUUCUGACAGCCAUUGUGAAAAUGGUGAUAUAGUCCAGGCAGUACUUGAAUUUCUAUACAAAGUUAUCCCAGACUAAAUUAUUCAUAUGGGACAUAUGAGCUGGAGCCCUAUUGGCUUUCUCUGCUCC